CUCGUAGGCGGUUCGGUAAGUCGGGUGUGAAAACUCAAGGCUCAACCUUGAGAGGCCACCCGAUACUGCUGUGACUCGAGUGCGGUAGGGGAGCGGGGAAUUCCUGGUGUAGCGGUGAAAUGCGCAGAUAUCAGGAGGAACACCAGUGGCGAAGGCGCCGCUCUGGGCCGUAACUGACGCUGAGGAGCGAAAGCAUGGGUAGCAAACA
rnacentral:rRNA from 1 species